ACGUUUCGUGACGUUUUCAUCCAAGUUCCUACUCAGAGAGAAAUAAUCGAACGCAGGAUAAUACGACAAAGAUAUUUUAUUUUCUGCGAUCACUAGAUUCUGAUUGUGAAUUUGGCUUGUAAGAUAUCUGUCUGCUAAUAACAUAACAACAUGUUAGUGAAUGGUUUUGUGCCUUGCACACUACUCAUCAUACCAUAAUGCACUUAGUUACUAGUGUUUUUUUUUCUUUCAAAAUGUAUUAGAGUGUAAUUGUUUUAAUGUGCAUGGAGUACUGGAAUUGUAGAAUGAAUUGAAGAUGAAGGCACUAUAAUAAAAAUGUUAACCUUGCAUUUUUCUUAUGUUUUACAGUUUUUUCCAAUCAUUUUAACGCGUGAAUUGUGAAACGUUUUGGUGGUUGUAGGGCAUUUUGCACGAAAGGUUAAGUGAUGUGCUCAGGUGUGUAUUGGUACAGCCCACUGUGUGAAGUGUUGUGAAAAAGUGGACAUGGUAUUGAGACAAGUGUGAAAAUGAUUGGAAAAAACUUUAAUAUAGGCUUACUAUGUGGAUGUCACAGCAUUUGCCACAAGGGGCAUUACUAAGUCAAACGUGUAUUUUAUAGCUGUUACAUGGCCCAAAGGUUGAGGCUUUCCCACAGUGGUUGCAUGAUUUGCUAGUUUACUCUUUCUAAGUGGACAUUUCAUGUAGCCUACAAUCCAGUGAGGUAGCCACAGUUUUGCUACUCGUGUUUUAACUCUCAGUGUAGCUCCACGUGAAAAUUGGAGAGGGAGACAGUCUGACGAUGAUUUUCCAUAAUUAAGUAUUAGGUAACCAAACCAAUUUGACACUAACAUUCAAGUCAAUGAUACACUGUUGAUAUUUUAUGUUUAAUCAGGGUACAUUUUACACAUAUAACACUUAGCCUAAAUCUAUAAAAAUGUUUUUGAAAUAUUCAAUAAAGUUACUUGAUAAUUUGAGCUGAGAGAAAUGGGAACUGGUCGCUGUAUUGUGAUGACUCUGUUAUGGUUACAAGAGAUAUUGGAAAUCAUUGCCAUUGUACUAAUAUUAGUUUUUUUUUUAGGUCCUGUUCAAUACCAUUGUUUCUUCACGAAUUAGAUGGAUAUCAGAGCUCUAAGAUCUGAAGGUUUUGUUGUGCUCUUACUGAAGAUUUCCUCUUGUGUGUGGAUAAGUGCCCAGUAUGCUGCUCCGAGUCAUUUUAAACAAGGAUGACAUCAGGAAGAUACAGAUCGAUAAUUUGCCAGAGACACUUGAGGAAUUCUUCUCAUUACUGAAAUGUAAGCUUAGAGUGGAAGAUGACCUGAUAGUCCAGUACGAAGAUAGAGACUUUGAUAAUGAGCUGUGCAACUUGACAAACUUGUCUGAUCUUCCUGAAGGAAGAGUGACAUUGAAGGUAACUGUCAAGAAUGCAACUGAGUCAUACCACACAGAUUCAACAUUGGACACUGCAAGUUUGGCCUCCACAUCUUCUCAUGAAGACCUUUCCACCAGACAAUAGCCUUGGCCUGAAGUAUUUGAGAUACCAAGAUUUCCAUAUGAUGUAGAGUUGCAGCUUAAAGGGGGCAACCAGAAAGAUGGAACUUUGCUGAAUAUAAGGAAAGACACUAAAAGUGAAAUUCUUGACAAGCUGGCGGAAACAAUUUACUCAUACACUGCCUACCCAUCACGAGAGGAAUACGACAUUGUUGCACAAAGUCUCAUCAAAAAACAUCCUUGCCUUUGGUAACCUGGGUCUUCCAAGGGUUGGUACUGCUGGAAAUUCAGCUUGAAAUUCAAAAUGGGAAACUACAGGAACAAGCUUCGUAUGGCUGGAUGCUCUGAACUUCAAGUUAACAGCCGCUCCUCAGGACCUAAACAGAAACUCAAGAAAGCUAAAAAAGCUGAGGUCAACUUUCUUCCAGACUUCCCUAAGGGAAGAACUGAAGAUGUCCUGGAAGAAGAGAGAUUGCAGAUUAUUGGAGAGAUGAAAAAGAAGAGAUCAGAUAUGAAGGAAAUUGAAGAAAUGAUGGUCAGCACCUUCUCCUUGCGGAGAAAACAUAUUGUAGAAGAAGAGCCAUCUGUGGCAGAGGUGAAGAUUAAGUGGCCAGCUUUAUUUACAGAGCAACAGAAUUCCAACAGAAUGAAAAGGGCUGUCACUUUAAGAAGAUUACCAUAUUUCCUCAGUGAAGACCCAUCAAGGUUUCUCGGGACUGCUGAAGUAAGCCUGAUUUUAUGACCUAUCGUACUAUGACCUACUGUAUGAGC